rnacentral:misc_RNA from 1 species
GAACGCACAUUGCGCCCUUUGGUAUUCCGAAGGGCAUGCCUGUUCGAGCGUCAUUAUCACCCCUCAAGCCCUCGGCUUGGUGUUGGACGGUUUGGUGGAGGCCCCCUCGGGGGCUCCUGCCCCUCCCAAAGACAAUGACGGCGGCCUCGUUGGACCCCCGGUACACUGAGUUCUUCACGGGACACGUAUCGGACACAUGGGUUUACGGGACACGGUCUGCCUCCCCUCAGGGAGAAUCUUUCUAAGGUUGACCUCGGAUCAGGUAGGGAUACCCGCUGAACUUAAG